UUGCCGUUUCUAAACAUUGUUUUUCUCUUCUUUUUUCUUUUUGUGCAUCAUCUAAUAAUGUUAGGUAAAUAUCAUAUUUACUUGGGCAGAUAAGCUUUCCAGACCUUAACAAUUACGACACGGAUGAAGCUUGGCCAUUAAUUCUGGAUAAUUUUGUUGAUUGGACGAAACGACAAGAAAAUGUGGUUAGUGCAUGAGUUUGGGUCAAGAUUGCAGGUUUUCCAGAUUCCUAAAUGCGGAACGAACAACUAUGGAAGAGUAUACUUGACAUGCCGGCUGUAUAAUUUUUCUUGGACACAUCUAUAAUACGCCAUUCUUUCCCAAACUUUACUUGUGUAUCUUUUGUGCUUGGCUUCCUGGUUUUGUAUUUUCUUUUUUUAAAUCAAUGGCCAUUUUUAGUGAAAGAUAGGGGGAUCAUAUUUUACUUAUAAUGAUGAGUUUAGAAUGGCCAUUUGGCUUUUACCAGUACUGUUUUCUGCAUUUUUAUGAAUGAAUGAAUGAUGUAAUUCCAGACUUUGCAUGUAUGAAGCAAAUUAAGAGCAUAUUUGAACCUUAGGGUUCCAAGAAAAAGGACAGAAAAUAACGAAGCCGGCAAAACGAAGAGAAAUCAAUACUCUAAUAAAGCCAAGAAACAUCGAUCUGAACUAUGACAGAAUCUUCGAUGAAUGUUAGGUUCCUCGUUAACAUAUUUAGGCUUCGCCUGCUCCACGAUCCUUCAACAGCCACCAAACAAUGGCUGUCGAGAAAAUGUUGUCACUUCUCAUCAUCUCUUUCGCUGCUCAACACAUCACAGCCUCGUCGCAAAUGGCAGCGCCGCGUGCCGGCGUAAAAGGGGCGUACUGGCUUUCAUCUUCAACACUUGCACCAUCAGCCAUACCUACUUCCUACUUCACCCACUUAUUCUACGCCUUCGUUCAAGUCGACGCCACCAGUUUCCAGCUCCUGAUCACGCCGCUCGACGAGGAGCUCAUGCCGGCCUUCACCUCCGCCGUCCUCCCCGCCAAGGCCCUCCUCUCCAUCGGCGGAGCAGCGACGGAUCCUCGAAUCUUGUCCAACAUGUCGAGCGACUCCGACAACCGGGCCGCAUUCAUCCAGUCGUCCAUCCGCACAGCAAGAGCUUACGGCUUCGACGGGCUCGACCUCGACUGGGAGUUCCCCGCCGAUCCACAGGAGAUGGCCAACCUCGCCUCUCUCUAUGAGGAGUGGCGCGCCGCCCUCAACCAGGAAUCACUAGCCUCAUCCAAACCGCCGCUGCUCCUCUCCGCCGCCGUAUACUUCGCCUCCAACUUCUUCAUCCCCGGGAACGUCCAGCGGAGCUAUCCCGGCGAGGCGAUCAGACAGCACGUGGACUUCGUGAGCCCGAUGUGCUACGACUACGACGGCGCGUGGCAGCCGAACCUCACCGGAGCUCACGCCUUGCUCUACUGACAGCAAGCAGCAACGUCAGCACGAGCUACGGGAUAUCCGACGUGGAAGGGAGACGGCGUUCCGGUCGGGAAGAUAGUGAUGGGGAUGCCGGCGUAUGGGAGGGCGUGGCAGCUCAAGGAUCCGAACCUGCACGGGAUCGGAGCUCCCCGCUGCCGGAAUCUGGCAGCAGGCGACUCUAGGAGUGAUGAAUUAUUCAGCUAUAGUGGAAUUCAACCGGGAGAGUAACGCCACGGUGGUUUUCGACAACACCACCGUGUCGGCGUACUCGUACGCCGGAACGGAUUGGAUAGGAUACGACGACGUUACUACGGUUGAAUACAAGAUCAAAUUUGCUAAGGAGCAGGGGCUUGGGGGUUACUUUUUCUGGGCCCUUGGCUUUGACAGCGACUGGGAUCUUGCCAGAGCAGCUUCCGCAGCAUGGGAUAGUAACUGAUGAUUCGGCAUCGGAGAGCAUCCAACAAUGAUGAUAGCUUAUCAUGAAUAGCGCUUGAUAUAUAUAUGUUUGUUUAUUUGUUUACUGCUUUUCAUUAUUUGCUCUUGUUCGCCUCAAACUUCAUCUCUUUGUUUAUAGAGCAUUCUAUUUGAAGAAA